rnacentral:rRNA from 1 species
UACGUAGGGUGCGAGCGUUAAUCGGAAUUACUGGGCGUAAAGCGUGCGCAGGCGGUUUUGUAAGCCAGAUGUGAAAUCCCCGGGCUUAACCUGGGAAUGGCAUUUGGGACUGCAAGGCUCGAGUGCGGCAGAGGAGACUGGAAUUCCUGGUGUAGCGGUGAAAUGCGCAGAUAUCAGGAGGAACACCCGUGGCGAAAGCGGCUCUCUGGGACGGUACUGACGCUGAGACGCGAAAGCGUGGGGAGCAAACAGG